rnacentral:rRNA from 1 species
AGAGUUGAUAUGGCUCAGAUGAACGCUGGCGGCAGGCUUAACACAUGCAAGUCGAACGGUAACAGGGAGAAGCUUGCUCUUGCUGACGAGUGGCGGACGGGUGAGUAAUGCUUGGGAAUCUGGCUUAUGGAGGGGGAUAACUACUGGAAACGGUAGCUAAUACCGCGUAAUGUCUGCGGACUAAAGGGUGGGACUUUCGGGCCACCUGCCAUAAGAUGAGCCCAAGUGAGAUUAGGUAGUUGGUGAGGUAAUGGCUCACCAAGCCGUCGAUCUCUAGCUGGUCUGAGAGGAUGACCAGCCACACUGGAACUGAGACACGGUCCAGACUCCUACGGGAGGCAGCAGUGGGGAAUAUUGCACAAUGGGGGGAACCCUGAUGCAGCCAUGCCCGCGUGAAUGAAGAAGGCCUUCGGGUUGUAAAGUUCUUUCGGUAGCGAGGAAGGUGGUUGUUUUAAUAGAACAAUCAAUUGACGUUAACUACAGAAGAAGCACCGGCUAACUCCGUGCCAGCCGCCGC